ACAAACAAUUCAACCUCAUGUGCUUUUUUGCCCAAAUGGUAGGUGUGUUGAUGAUUAGACACCGAUGUCAAGAGAGCACUGGAGGGCUCAGGCCAGGCAGAGAUGGACGGCUGUCAAUUAUGACCAAUUGCCAUGAAAGGUUUGUGUUAUAGGGCAAGAGAGGGAGAAUUUCAGUCUUUUUGCAUGGCACCCAGGAUACUAUCACCCUACCUGAGAUGUGGACGAUACUGAUGUUGUCAGAACUCUGGUAGUUCCCACUCGUUGUCUGUGUCCUUAUUAUUCCACCUAGGGAGGACGUUCCCUGGUGCUCGCCGGUGGUCAGAAGAUGCAAGGCUGACACGUGAGCAUCCUAUUCACCCUCAGCCUCAAAGGGAAGAAAGAAGAGGCCUCAGCUCAGCUCAGCAUCAGGCUUUCGCCACAAAGGAUCUGAGAGCCCCGCAGAGUUAUCAGCGGCUUUGCUUCUAACUGCCUGGAGCAUAAUCUUGGAACGGUACAGUACUCGGCUCUAAUGACCUGGUGUGUUGUCUGCAUCAUGAAUGAAAAGGAGGAUGAUGUUCCAAGCAUCGGCUUAAGAGAAUACUGGGCUGGACCAGUUCCCAGGGCUCAUACGCGCACACACACGCACACACAUGCAUAUACUCGCACACGUGCACAAACGAGUGUUCGCAGAGGCACUCACUGACAGGUUGCCAGUUGCAGUCAAGGUAGUGUUCUUUUAGUAACAAAGGGCUGAAAAGAAUCCAAGUGUCCACAAAUAGGAAAUGGACUAAACAAACUGGGGCACACUAAUAAAAAGGAAUGAGGCGAGUUCUCACCAAGCUGAGGGGCAAAAGUGACUGUUCCAAGGAUUUAGGUUAGUUUACAUAGGUUGGAGCGUCUAUUGUAAGCAUGGAUCACAAAAAGAGAUUUAGGGGCUGGUGAGAUGGCUCAGUGAAUAAGAAUGCUUGCUCUGAAAGCAAGAAGGUCUGAGUUCGAAUCCUCAGAACCCAUGUGAAAUGAAAGAAAGCAUGGCUAUCAUCAUUGCCUGCCAUACCAGCACUGAGAGGCAAAGAAAAAGGGAUCUUUGGAGGUUGCUGGCCAGCCAGUCUCACCACGCACGCAUGCACUCACGUACUCACGUACUCAUGCGCUCACGCGCACGCGCAUGCGCACGCACACCAGAUGGGGUUUGGGCCGGAAACUGUUUUGUCCUGCUGCCACAGUGCUCCGUGAUGAAUGAGUGAAAGGAAGUCAGGAACCACACAAAGGAAGAAAGAAGAACAGCCCUGAGACUAAGUAGAGCAUUGCACAAGGAGAGGAUGGAACUGGAGCUUUGUGAACACUGACUAGAACCUUUACCGAGUGGGCGUGAUCCGCAAUUUGUGUUCCGUUUAACUAUUGGCCAAAGAGAAAAGAGGUGUGAAAUAUAUACACGCAUGGGUUGGCAGGGGUGCGAAUGCUCAGUUUUCAUGGUAGGAGUCAAAUGGAAAACGCUUGAGGCUGAACAUAGAAUAAAAACACAAGCUAGUUAACCGAGGAAGGGCUGGAGAGGUGGCUCAGUGAUUGAGAGCGCUUGCUACUCCUUCAGAGGACCUAAGUUCGGUUCCAGCACCUGUAUCAGAUGGCUCACAAUGUUGCUAUGUCUCCAGGGCAUCCACUGUCUCUGGAUUUCAAGGACAUUUAACGUGUAUACAAAUACCCACAUGCGCACGCACACACACCUAAACAUAAUUAUUAUUUUCUUCUCCCUUUUUCUUUUUUCUUUCUUUCUUUUUUUGAGACAGGGUUUUUCUGUAUAGUCCUAGCUGUCCUGGACUCACUCUGUAGACCUGGCUGGCCUCGAACUCAGAGAUCCACUUACCUCUGCUUCUCAAGUGCUGGGCUGCACAUAAUUAUUGAAAACACAAUGAAUCAAGAACAGUAGGCCAGUGAGAUGGUUCAGUGGGUAGAGGUGCUGCUGACAAGCUGGACCACCUGAGUUUGAUCCCCAGAAACCCAUGUGGUGGAAAGAAAGAGCUAGUUGGGGCAAGUUAUCCUUUGACCUACACAUGCAUGUCAUAGCAUUCAUACCACCCCCACACAUAAGUAACAAUUUAAAAUAAACGAAUAAAAAGGACUAAGGAAGCCAAAAUAGAUAAAACAUAAAACAUGGUGCCUUUGGGAAUGGCUACUUUAGUUAUAAAUAUUAAUACCUCACAUAUUUUUAAAAGUCAGCUAAGUAGCAACAAAAUGUUUGAAACGUAACUAAACAAUGCAGUAAAAGUCUUUGUGCAUUUUCAUACCACUUACAAAUCAGUUGUCCAUAGUUAAACAUCUUCAUGGAGGCGGUAUAAACCAUCUAAUACGGAUACACAUGCGUGUUUAUGUUAUCUGUAUGUAGAGAGACUGAUGGGUGGAUGAUCAGAAAAGCAUCUGAAACAGGUCACUUUAAACCCAUGGCCUCUAGGCUCUUCACAGUGAGGCUUGCCUUCUGCAGCAGGAAUGCCUGUGUUGUCUGAAACACUGUAGUUAGCUCCAUAAUCGGAAAAAUACACAGCUUAAAUCAGAAAAGAAGAUCUAGGCCAGAGUAGCUUCCUUCCCACCUACACACCCACUAAUUAGUGCUAUUAUGCAGCACUGGACACAGAACUCAGAGCCUUGUGUAUGCUCCUCUGACAGUCUACCAACAGAACUGCGUCCACCAUGCAUGGGAACCUUUUCCACCAAGGAAUGUGUGGCUUAAGCAAGCCUAUAUGUCUUCUCCCAUCCUUACACUUGCUGCCCCGGUCUGGAAAAGGACACAGGAAGGGGCAGCCAUCUUCUCUAAUCUAGUUAGCACCCAAGGACAUACAUACAGGGAAUUCUUUCAUCAUCUCAUUUUUACUAGAGCCUAAUUCUGGCUGGACCUGGAAAUACACGCGCUUCUGUUUCUCA
rnacentral:lncRNA from 1 species